rnacentral:misc_RNA from 1 species
GAUGAAGAACGCAGCGAAAUGCGAUAAGUAAUGCGAAUUGCAGAAUUCCGUGAGUCAUCGAAUCUUUGAACGCACAUUGCGCCCUUUGGCAUUCCGAAGGGCAUGCCUGUUCGAGCGUCAUUUAUCAACCCUCAAGCCCGGCUUGCGGUUGGUCCCGCCGUGGGCGACCACGGCGGACCCGAAAGGUAAUGGCGGUGCCCGUGGGGCCCUGGACGCAGCGAGCUUCUCGGCACGCGUCCCGGCGGUCCCCGGCGCCGUCUCCACCAAUCCACCACGCAGAUUGACCUCGGAUCAGGUAGGGAUACCCGCUGAACUUAAGCAUAUCAAUAAGCGGAGGA